UUGUUGCCCAGAUAGACAACCCAAGAGGGGGGGUGAAUUGGGUUUUAAAAUAAUUUAGAUAAUUUAAAACAUUAUGGAUGAUUAAUUAAAAACUAUUGCAAGUUAUUUAAUUAAUUACUAUGUGCUGUGAGUAAUAUGAAAUGAGAAGAAGGAGAGACAAUCAAUCACAAACACAAGUUUUAUAGUGGUUCGGAGCUAACCCUUGCUCCUACGUCCACUCCCCAAGUCUCACUUGGGAAUUCACUAUAAUCCCCUUGGAUUACAGCCGGUUGUUUUCCAAGCUCACAACCAAACUUGUUGUUUUACGAGCUCACAACGAACUCGGUCGGUUUUCCCAGGCUCACCGACUAGAACCACCCCCGAUUGUUUUCUCGGGAUCACAAUCGAACCCUUACACACGUUGGUUUUAACUCGGCUCACCAACCAACCUCAAUCCCCUUGAUUCAAUCCCCGAUUGAACCAAGUAAAUACAAGUUGUAAAAAGAAA
rnacentral:lncRNA from 1 species